GAUGAAGAACGUAGCGAAAUGCGAUAAGUAAUGUGAAUUGCAGAAUUCAGUGAAUCAUCGAAUCUUUGAACGCACCUUGCACCCUUUGGCAUUCCGAAGGGUAUGCUCGUUUGAGUGUCAUUGUACUCUCACACUUCCAAUCUUUGGAUUGGGAGCAGUGGACUUGGGUGUUGCUGCUUACUGUGGCUCACCUCAAAUCGAUUCGUGCACCUCUUGGUUGGACAUAGUACGGCGUGAUAAGUGUCUUCGCCGGCACCUCAGUAGAGGGUGGUUGAUCAGGAGCUCUGUGCUUCAAACCGUCCUCGGACAAAAACUGACAACUUGACCUCAAAUCGAGUAGGACUACCCGCUGAACUUAAGCAUAUCAAUAAGCGGAGGA
rnacentral:misc_RNA from 1 species